rnacentral:rRNA from 1 species
AAAAACAGAUAAGGGCAGACGGUGGAUGCCUUGGCUCUCGGAGGCGAAGAAGGACGUGAUAAGCUGCGAUAAGCUACGGGGAUUGGCACAUACAAAUUGAUCCGUAGAUUUCCGAAUGGGGCAACCCGGCAUGUAGAAGACAUGUCACACUGCAGAGCAGUGAGCGAACGUGGGGAACUGAAACAUCUAAGUACCCAUAGGAGAAGAAAACAAAAGUGAUUCCCUUAGUAGUGGCGAGCGAACGGGGAACAGCCCAAACCAGAUUUGUUUCGGCAAAACUGGGGUUGUAGGACCUCGACAUAGGAAGACAAGAUUAGGAGAACGGUCUGGAAAGGCCGGCCAUAGAACAUGACAGCUGUGUAUCCGAAAAUCUUCGUUGGACUUAGAGGUAUCCUGAGUAGCGCGGGACACGUGAAAUCCUGUGUGAAUCUGCGGGGCCCAUCCCGUAAGGCUAAAUACUCCCGAGAGACCGAUAGUGAACCAGUACCGUGAGGGAAAGGUGAAAAGAACCUCGAACAGAGGAGUGCAAUAGAUCCUGAACCCGUCUGCCUACAAGCGGUAGGAGCAGCCCUGUGCUGUGACUGCGUGCCUUUUGCAUAAUGAACCUACGAGUUACUUUCUCUGGCAAGGUUAAGUGAUGAAGAGUCACGUGAGCCGAAGCGAAAGCGAGUCUGAAUAGGGCGAUUUAGUCAGAGGGAGUAGACGCGAAACCAAGUGAUCUACCCUUGGUCAGGUUGAAGGUUGGGUAAAACCAACUGGAGGACCGCACCGGUAAGCGUUGAAAAGCUUUCGGAUGAACUGAGGGUAGGGGUGAAAGGCUAAUCAAACUUGGAGAUAGCUCGUACUCCCCGAAAUGCAUUUAGGUGCAGCCUGUGGAGUUUCUUACGUGAGGUAGAGCGACUGAUUGGAUGCGAGGCUUUCACCGGCUAUCAAGUCCAGACAAACUCCGAAUGCACGUUAAGUAAGAUCCACGGAGUGAGGGCAUGGGUGCUAAGGUCCAUGUCCGAGAGGAGAAGAAUCCAGACCAUCGGCUAAGGUCCCGAAAUAAUAGCUAAGUUGACCAAACGAAGUCAGAGUGCGAAGACAGCUAGGAUGUUGGCUUGGAAGCAGCCAUUCAUUUAAAGAGUGCGUAACAGCUCACUAGUCGAGUGCUUUGGCGUGGAUAAUAAUCGGGCAUAAGCUAUUUACCGAAGCUGUGGGAUGUGUAAACAUCGGUAGGGGAGCAUUCUAGCGACGCAGAAGGUGAGAGGACAACUCUUGCUGGAGUUUCUAGAAAAGCAAAUGUAGGUAUAAGUAACGAUAAAGGAGGUGAGAAACCUCCUCGCCGAAAGACUAAGGUUUCCUGAUCAACGCUAAUCGGAUCAGGGUUAGUCGGGCCCUAAGGGAAAGCCGAACGGCGCACCCGAUGGAAGAACCGGUUAAUAUUCCGGUACUAAUUAUGUGAGCGAUGUGGAGACGGAGAUGUGACGGUCCUGCCACCUGACGGAAUAGGUGGUUGAAGGGUGUAGGAGUUGAUCUGAGUAGGCAAAUCCGCUCGGAGAUCCGAACCUGACAGUACUCUGAGUGCUUGCACAAGGAGAUAUGGACAACUGUAACGGUGCUCCCAAGAAAAUCCGCUAAGCAUAUUGCAUGAUUACCCGUACCAUAAACCGACACAGGUGGUUGGGUUGAGUAUACUAAGGCGCUCGAGUGAUUCGCGGUUAAGGAACUAGGCAAAAUAGUCCUGUAACUUCGGAAUAAAGGACGCUCACAGUGAAGGCUGUGAGCCGCAGAGAAUAGGCCCAGGCGACUGUUUAACAAAAACACAUGGCUAUGCUAAAUCGAAAGAUACUGUAUAUAGCCUGACACCUGCCCGGUGCUGGAAGGUUAAGAGGAGAUGUCAUCGCAAGAGAAGCAUUGAAUUGAAGCCCCAGUAAACGGCGGCCGUAACUAUAACGGUCCUAAGGUAGCGAAAUUCCUUGUCGGGU